AGUGAACGCUGGCGGUAGGCCUAACACAUGCAAGUCGAACGGCAGCACAGUAAGAGCUUGCUCUUACGGGUGGCGAGUGGCGGACGGGUGAGGAAUACAUCGGAAUCUACUUUUUCGUGGGGGAUAACGUAGGGAAACUUACGCUAAUACCGCAUACGACCUACGGGUGAAAGCAGGGGAUCUUCGGACCUUGCGCGAUUGAAUGAGCCGAUGUCGGAUUAGCUAGUUGGCGGGGUAAAGCCCCACCAAGGCGACGAUCCGUAGCUGGUCUGAGAGGAUGAUCAGCCACACUGGAACUGAGACACGGUCCAGACUCCUACGGGAGGCAGCAGUGGGGAAUAUUGGACAAUGGGCGCAAGCCUGAUCCAGCCAUACCGCGUGGGUGAAGAAGGCCUUCGGGUUGUAAAGCCCUUUUGUUGGGAAAGAAAAGCAGCAGGUUAAUACCCCGCUGUUCUGACGGUACCCAAAGAAUAAGCACCGGCUAACUUCGUG
rnacentral:rRNA from 1 species